rnacentral:RNase_P_RNA from 1 species
GAAGUAGAUAAAGCAGUCGCCCCAUGAGAUAUUUUUAAAUUAUCUCUCGGGGAGGAAAGUCCGAACACCCUCCGACUUUACGUCGGAGAAGUAAGUAGUGGAUAACAUCCACCGACCUUCGUCGGUCGAAGCCGACUUCGGUCGGCGAAGUCCGAUCGCAAGAUUAGGGAAAGUGCCACAGAGACAAUACUAUCCCGCCUCCAGACGGAAGCGGGGAAAAGGUGAAAAGUCUCGCCUCAGGCGAGUCGGCUCCAAGGAAUUGGAGACCGUGGUAAACCCUACUUGGUGCAACCCCGUUAGAUAAGAAUUCAUCUAACGGGGGCAUGAGUCCGAUGGUAACAUCGGACCUAGACAAAUGACUGCACUUCACUCGCUUCGCUCGUUCAGUGUAAACUGACCAAACAUUUAGCUCGGGAAUUUAUCCUGAGACGAGACGGAGUCGAGUCGAAGGACAGAAUUCGGCUUAUUGUCUACUUACCAG